rnacentral:rRNA from 1 species
GAUGAACGCUAGCGGCAGGCCUAAUACAUGCAAGUCGAACGGUAAGGCCCGUUUCGGGGGUACACGAGUGGCGGACGGGUGCGUAACGCGUAUGCAACAUGCCUUCCAGCGGGGGAUAUACCAGGGAAACUUGGCGCAACUACCCCAUAGAAUUACGGGACCGCAUGGUCUUGUGAAUUAAAACUCCGGUGCUGGGAGAGUGGGCAUGCGUGUCAUUAGUUAGUUGGCGGGGUAACGGCCCACCAAGACCACGAUGACUAGGGGAUCUGAGAGGAUGACCCCCCACACUGGAACUGAGACACGGUCCAGACUCCUACGGGAGGCAGCAGUGGGGAAUAUUGGACAAUGGGCGCAAGCCUGAUCCAGCAAUGCCGCGUGUGUGAAGAAGGCCUGCGGGUUGUAAAGCACUUCCAGUGGGGAAGAACAGGUUCGGGUCAAUACCCCGGAGCCCUGACGUUACCCACAGAAGAAGCACCGGCUAACUCCGUGCCAGCAGACGCGGUAAUGUAGU